UGGGGAAUUUUGGACAAUGGGCGAAAGCCUGAUCCAGCAAUGCCGCGUGUGUGAAGAAGGCCUUCGGGUUGUAAAGCACUUUUGUCCGGAAAGAAAUCCUUGGCUCUAAUACAGUCGGGGGAUGACGGUACCGGAAGAAUAAGCACCGGCUAACUACGUGCCAGCAGCCGCGGUAAUACGUAGGGUGCAAGCGUUAAUCGGAAUUACUGGGCGUAAAGCGUGCGCAGGCGGUUUGCUAAGACCGAUGUGAAAUCCCCGGGCUCAACCUGGGAACUGCAUUGGUGACUGGCAGGCUAGAGUAUGGCAGAGGGGGGUAGAAUUCCACGUGUAGCAGUGAAAUGCGUAGAGAUGUGGAGGAAUACCGAUGGCGAAGGCAGCCCCCUGGGCCAAUACUGACGCUCAUGCACGAAAGCGUGGGGAGCAAAACAGGAUUAGAUACCCCUGGUAGUCCACGCCCUAAAACGAUGUCAACUAGUUGUUGGGGAUUCAUUUCCUUAGUAACGUAGCUAACGCGUGAAGUUGACCGCCUGGGGAGUACGGUCGCAAGAUUAAAACUCAAAGGAAUUGACGGGGUCAUAGCUGUUUCC
rnacentral:rRNA from 1 species